GGGUUGUGAGGUUAAGCGACUAAGCGUACACGGUGGAUGCCCUGGCAGUCAGAGGCGAUGAAGGACGUGCUAAUCUGCGAAAAGCGUCGGUAAGGUGAUAUGAACCGUUAUAGCCGGCGAUGUCCGAAUGGGGAAACCCAGUGCAAUUCGUUGCACUAUCGUUAACUGAAUACAUAGGUUAACGAGGCGAACCGGGGGAACUGAAACAUCUAAGUACCCCGAGGAAAAGAAAUCAACCGAGAUUCCCCCAGUAGCGGCGAGCGAACGGGGAGCAGCCCAGAGUCUGAAUCAGCUUGUGUGUUAGUGGAACGGUCUGGAAAGUCCGACGGUACAGGGUGAUAGUCCCGUACACCAAAAUGCACAGGCUGUGAACUCGAAGAGUAGGGCGGGACACGUGGUAUCCUGUCUGAAUAUGGGGGGACCAUCCUCCAAGGCUAAAUACUCCUGACUGACCGAUAGUGAACCAGUACCGUGAGGGAAAGGCGAAAAGAACCCCGGCGAGGGGAGUGAAAAAGAACCUGAAACCGUGUACGUACAAGCAGUGGGAGCACCUUCGGGUGUGACUGCGUACCUUUUGUAUAAUGGGUCAGCGACUUAUAUUCUGUAGCAAGGUUAACCGUAUAGGGGAGCCGCAGGGAAACCGAGUCUUAACUGGGCGUUAAGUUGCAGGGUAUAGACCCGAAACCCGGUGAUCUAGCCAUGGGCAGGUUGAAGGUUGGGUAACACUAACUGGAGGACCGAACCGACUAAUGUUGAAAAAUUAGCGGAUGACUUGUGGCUGGGGGUGAAAGGCCAAUCAAACCGGGAGAUAGCUGGUUCUCCCCGAAAGCUAUUUAGGUAGCGCCUCGUGAACUCAUCUUCGGGGGUAGAGCACUGUUUCGGCUAGGGGGUCAUCCCGACUUACCAACCCGAUGCAAACUACGAAUACCGAAGAAUGUUAUCACGGGAGACACACGGCGGGUGCUAACGUCCGUCGUGAAGAGGGAAACAACCCAGACCGCCAGCUAAGGUCCCAAAGUCAUGGUUAAGUGGGAAACGAUGUGGGAAGGCACAGACAGCCAGGAUGUUGGCUUAGAAGCAGCCAUCAUUUAAAGAAAGCGUAAUAGCUCACUGGUCGAGUCGGCCUGCGCGGAAGAUGUAACGGGGCUAAACCAUGCACCGAAGCUGCGGCAGCGACACUAUGUGUUGUUGGGUAGGGGAGCGUUCUGUAAGCCUGCGAAGGUGUGCUGUGAGGGUUGCUGGAGGUAUCAGAAGUGCGAAUGCUGACAUAAGUAACGAUAAAGCGGGUGAAAAGCCCGCUCGCCGGAAGACCAAGGGUUCCUGUCCAACGUUAAUCGGGGCAGGGUGAGUCGACCCCUAAGGCGAGGCCGAAAGGCGUAGUCGAUGGGAAACAGGUUAAUAUUCCUGUACUUGGUGUUACUGCGAAGGGGGGACGGAGAAGGCUAUGUUAGCCGGGCGACGGUUGUCCCGGUUUAAGCAUGUAGGCUGGUUGUCCAGGCAAAUCCGGAUAAUCAAGGCUGAGGUGUGAUGACGAGGCACUACGGUGCUGAAGUAACAAAUGCCCUGCUUCCAGGAAAAGCCUCUAAGCAUCAGGUAACAUCAAAUCGUACCCCAAACCGACACAGGUGGUCAGGUAGAGAAUACCAAGGCGCUUGAGAGAACUCGGGUGAAGGAACUAGGCAAAAUGGUGCCGUAACUUCGGGAGAAGGCACGCUGGUGUGUAGGUGAAGUCCCUGCGGAUGGAGCUGAGACCAGUCGAAGAUACCAGCUGGCUGCAACUGUUUAUUAAAAACACAGCACUGUGCAAACACGAAAGUGGACGUAUACGGUGUGACGCCUGCCCGGUGCCGGAAGGUUAAUUGAUGGGGUUAUCCGUAAGGAGAAGCUCUUGAUCGAAGCCCCGGUAAACGGCGGCCGUAACUAUAACGGUCCUAAGGUAGCGAAAUUCCUUGUCGGGUAAGUUCCGACCUGCACGAAUGGCGUAAUGAUGGCCAGGCUGUCUCCACCCGAGACUCAGUGAAAUUGAACUCGCUGUGAAGAUGCAGUGUACCCGCGGCAAGACGGAAAGACCCCGUGAACCUUUACUAUAGCUUGACACUGAACAUUGAGCCUUGAUGUGUAGGAUAGGUGGGAGGCUUUGAAGCGUGGACGCCAGUCUGCGUGGAGCCAACCUUGAAAUACCACCCUUUAAUGUUUGAUGUUCUAACGUUGGCCCCUUACCGGGGUUGCGGACAGUGUCUGGUGGGUAGUUUGACUGGGGCGGUCUCCUCCCAAAGCGUAACGGAGGAGCACGAAGGUUAGCUAAUCCUGGUCGGACAUCAGGAGGUUAGUGCAAUGGCAUAAGCUAGCUUGACUGCGAGCGUGACGGCGCGAGCAGGUGCGAAAGCAGGUCAUAGUGAUCCGGUGGUUCUGAAUGGAAGGGCCAUCGCUCAACGGAUAAAAGGUACUCCGGGGAUAACAGGCUGAUACCGCCCAAGAGUUCAUAUCGACGGCGGUGUUUGGCACCUCGAUGUCGGCUCAUCACAUCCUGGGGCUGAAGUAGGUCCCAAGGGUAUGGCUGUUCGCCAUUUAAAGUGGUACGCGAGCUGGGUUUAGAACGUCGUGAGACAGUUCGGUCCCUAUCUGCCGUGGGCGCUGGAGAAUUGAGGGGGGCUGCUCCUAGUACGAGAGGACCGGAGUGGACGCAUCACUGGUGUUCGGGUUGUCAUGCCAAUGGCACUGCCCGGUAGCUAAAUGCGGAAGAGAUAAGUGCUGAAAGCAUCUAAGCACGAAACUUGCCCCGAGAUGAGUUCUCCCUGAGACUUUAAGUCUCCUGAAGGAACGUU
rnacentral:rRNA from 1 species